UAAUAUAUCCAAAGGGCGUGCAUACCUUAUCGCUGUCGCGUUGCAAUAAGACCGUAUCGCAGUUCAAGUUUUGGAAGGCAAAUUGAUGUUUACAUAUUCAAUCGUGCAAGCUCGACCUUUGAGCCCCAGGCUUGAGUCGUGUGUGUUUACCAUUUCCUCUUGCCACCUACCGGUGUUGCGCUGAGUUCGUAAUGAAAACGUCGUGUAACCUCUCGCUCACUCCUGCUAUACUUCCUUUACCUUCGGCUUUUCUCGGAGAAAAUCAUUUGAAAUGCUGGCUGGCUCCAGUUCAAGUAAAGUCCAACAGUGCAAAAAUCAUCCUAAAGAUAAUCUAACUGACUGUUAUUUUUUGCAUGAUUAAUGUUUCUGGAUAUUCAGGCAAAACUAAACAAUAUAUUAAAUAUCCACAUAUUGCAUUUGCAAUGAAACCAAUACCUCGUGGGGAUGGUCUUCCAGUGACUCAUCCACCAGCGAGUUGGUAAAUAGAAGAGUUAUCCUGCGAAGAAAACAAUGAAUCACCUUCAUCCUCUUCAUCUAGUAAUUCUGUUCCUGUAGCAC